UACGAAGGUCCCAAGCGUUAUCCGGAUUUAUUGGGUUUAAAGGGUGCGUAGGCGGGCUAUUAAGUCAGUGGUGAAAGCCCCAAGCUUAACUUGGGAACUGCCAUUGAUACUGAUGGUCUUGAGUACAUUUGAGGUGGGCGGAAUGUGUCAUGUAGCGGAGAAAUGCUUAGAUAUGACACAGAACACCGAUUGCGAAGGCAGCUCACUAAACUGUAACUGACGCUGAGGCACGAAAGCGUGGGGAGCAAACAGG
rnacentral:rRNA from 1 species